rnacentral:rRNA from 1 species
AUAUACGACCGUACCGCAAACCGACACUGGUGCGCGAGAUGAGUAUUCUAAGGCGCUUGAGAGAACUCAGGAGAAGGAACUCGGCAAAUUGACACCGUAACUUCGGAAGAAGGUGUGCCCUAUUAGUGUGUAGUGAACAACGAAGCAUGAAUGGGUUGCAAAAAAUCGGUGGCUGCGACUGUUUAUUAAAAACACAGCACUCUGCAAACACGAAAGUGGACGUAUAGGGUGUGACGCCUGCCCGGUGCUGGAAGAUUAAAUGAUGGGGUGCAAGCUCUUGAUUGAAGUCCCAGUAAACGGCGGCCGUAACAAUAACGGUCCUAAGGUAGCGAAAUUCCUUGUCGGGUAAGUUCCGACCUGCACGAAUGGCGUAACGAUGGCCACACUGUCUCCUCCUGAGACUCAGCGAAGUUGAAAUGUUUGUGAUGAUGCAAUCUCCCCGCGGAAAGACGGAAAGACCCCAUGAACCUUUACUGUAGCUUUGUAUUGGACUUUGAACAGAUCUGUGUAGGAUAGGUGGGAGGCUUUGAAGCAGGGUCGCUAGAUCUUGUGGAGCCAACGUUGAAAUACCACCCUGGUGUGUUUGAGGUUCUAACCUAGGUCCAUUAUCUGGAUCGGGGACAGUGCAUGGUAGGCAGUUUGACUGGGGCGGUCUCCUCCCAAAGCGUAACGGAGGAGUUCGAAGGUACGCUAGUUACGGUCGGACAUCGUGACGAUAGUGCAAUGGCAUAAGCGUGCUUAACUGCGAGACUGACAAGUCGAGCAGAUGCGAAAGCAGGACAUAGUGAUCCGGUGGUUCUGUAUGGAAGGGCCAUCGCUCAACGGAUAAAAGGUACUCUGGGGAUAACAGGCUGAUACCGCCCAAGAGUUCAUAUCGACGGCGGUGUUUGGCACCUCGAUGUCGGCUCAUCUCAUCCUGGGGCUGUAGCCGGUCCCAAGGGUAUGGCUGUUCGCCAUUUAAAGAGGUACGUGAGCUGGGUUUAAAACGUCGUGAGACAGUUUGGUCCCUAUCUUCCGUGGGCGCUGCAGAUUUGAGGAAGCCUGCUCCUAGUACGAGAGGACCGGAGUGGACACACCUCUGGUGUAUCGGUUGUCACGCCAGUGGCAUUGCCGAGUAGCUAAGUGUGGAAGAGAUAACCGCUGAAAGCAUCUAAGCGGGAAACUCGUUUCAAGAUGAGAUCUGCCGGGGCCUUGAGCCCCCUAAAGAGUCGUUCAAGACCAGGACGUUGAUAGGUCAGGUGUGGAA